rnacentral:rRNA from 1 species
GACGAACGCUGGCGGCGUGCCUAAUACAUGCAAGUCGAACGCAGUGGGGACGGGUGAGUGACACCUGGGUAACCUGCCAUCAAAGGGGAUAACACUUGGCAACAGGUGCUAACCCGAUACGGAUGUAUGGACCCGCGGUGCAUUAGCUAGUUGGAGAGGUAACGGCUCACCAAGGCCACGAUGCAUAGCCGGCCUGAGAGGGUGAUCGGCCACACUGGAACUGAGACACGGCCCAGACUCCUACGGGAGGCAGCAGUGGGGAAUCUUCGGCAAUGGGCGAAAGUCUGACCGAGCAACGCCGCGUGAGUGAAGAAGGUUUUCGGAUCGUAAAACUCUGUUGUUAGAGAAGCGGUAUCUAACCAGAAAGCCACGGCUAACUACGUGCCAGCAGCCGCGGUAAUAC